CUUAAUCUUCUUCUACUAGGUAUUGUUCAACUCUGAUUUUCUUUCUAUUUUAUUAUUCGUAUUGCUUUUGCUUAUGCGCUUUAUUAUUAUUAAUUCCAACUACAACAUAUCAAACUAAUAUUGCUUCAACGUCAGUGUAGAUUCUCUUUUUCUCUUUCAAUCGAUGGUUACAACAAGUAAAAUCGAUCGAAUCAAAAGAAACAACCAAUUAUCACACGUAAAAUGUAACCUAAACGGUUGAAGACGCAAUAUCUGAGGGUGUAGUUAGGUGUAUAAAGAGCUUCUUCGACGAACUAGGAAUCUGCAGUGGAACAGAAGCAUAGAGAGGGAAAACAGAAUUAGAGAGUUCUCCAGUCACUGUGAGUUCGACGGAGAAGUUAUCCGGCGACCGGAAGAAUGAAGGAGGAGGAAGAGAGGGAAACUCACAGAAGGCGUGAGAAGGAAGCACUGCGAGGUUUGGUAGUUGCAUUUAUGGUUUCCUUGUGAUGAUUUCAGAACCGGAGAGAAUAAAACACUGGGGGCUACCGGAUUCCAUGGCACCGGAGAGAGAGUGAGAGAUAACAGGAUC
rnacentral:lncRNA from 1 species